UACGUAGGGGGCAAGCGUUGUCCGGAUUUAUUGGGCGUAAAGCGCACGCAGGCGGUCUGUUCAGUUUGGAGUGACAGUUCCUGGCUCAACCGGGAAAGUGCUUCGAAUACUGGCGGACUUGAGGGCUUCAGAGGGACACGGAAUUCCGGGUGGAGUGGUGAAAUGCGUAGAGAUCCGGAUGAACACCAAAGGCGAAGGCAGUGUCCUGGGGAGUACCUGACGCUCAGGUGCGAAAGCCAGGGGAGCGAACGGG
rnacentral:rRNA from 1 species